rnacentral:rRNA from 1 species
GUGGGGAAUAUUGGGCAAUGGGCGAAAGCCUGACCCAGCAACGCCGCGUGAGGGAAGAAGGUUUUCGGAUUGUAAACCUCUGUCCUUGGUGACGAACACAAUGACGGUAGCCAAGGAGGAAGCCCCGGCUAACUACGUGCCAGCAGCCGCGGUAAUACGUAGGGGGCAAGCGUUGCCCGGAAUGACUGGGCGUAAAGGGCGUGUAGGCGGCCGAUUAAGUCUGGAGUGAAAGUCCUGCUUUCAAGGUGGGAAUUGCUUUGGAGACUGGUUGGCUUGAGUGCGGAAGAGGCAAGUGGAAUUCCCAGUGUAGCGGUGAAAUGCGUAGAGAUUGGGAGGAACACCAGUGGCGAAGGCGACUUGUUGGGCCGUAACUGACGCUGAGGCGCGAAAGCGUGGGGAGCGAACAGGAUUAGAAACCCGGGUAGUCC